rnacentral:rRNA from 1 species
UUAAAUUGAAGAGUUUGAUCAUGGCUCAGAUUGAACGCUGGCGGCAGGCCUAACACAUGCAAGUCGAACGGUAACAGGAAGCAGCUUGCUGCUUUGCUGACGAGUGGCGGACGGGUGAGUAAUGUCUGGGAAACUGCCUGAUGGAGGGGGAUAACUACUGGAAACGGUGGCUAAUACCGCAUAACGUCGCAAGACCAAAGAGGGGGACCUUCGGGCCUCUUGCCAUCAGAUGUGCCCAGAUGGGAUUAGCUUGUUGGUGAGGUAACGGCUCACCAAGGCGACGAUCCCUAGCUGGUCUGAGAGGAUGACCAGCCACACUGGAACUGAGACACGGUCCAGACUCCUACGGGAGGCAGCAGUGGGGAAUAUUGCACAAUGGGCGCAAGCCUGAUGCAGCCAUGCCGCGUGUAUGAAGAAGGCCUUCGGGUUGUAAAGUACUUUCAGCGGGGAGGAAGG